AUGGCGCCGGUGAAGGUGUUCGGGCAGGCCAUGUCGCCGAACGUGGCGCGGGUGCUGGUGUUCCUGGAGGAGGCCGGCGCCGACUACGAGCUCGUCGACGUCGACUUCCAGGCCAAGGAGCACAAGAGCCCCGACCACCUUGCCAGAAACCCGUUCGGGCAAAUCCCCGCGUUCCAGGACGGUGACCUCGUUCUCUUCGAGUCACGAGCGGUCGCAAAGUACGUGGCGCGCAAGUACAAGACGGACGAGGCCGACCUGCUGAGGGACGGCGACCAUUCAGAAGCCGCCAUGGUGGACGUGUGGACGGAGGUGGAGGCGCACACGUACAGCGCGGCCCUCUCGCCGAUCGUCUACGAGUGUCUCAUCUUCCCUCUCAUGCACGGCAAGCCCACCGACGAGAAGGUCGUCGACGAGAGCCUCGGGAAGCUGAGGAAAGUGCUCGAGGUCUAUGAGGAGCGGCUGUCCAAGCACAGGUACCUGGCCGGGGAUUUCCUCAGCUUCGCCGACCUCAACCAUUUCCCCUACACCUUCUACUUCAUGGCGACGCCGCAUGGGGCCCUGUUUGAGUCGUACCCGCGCGUGAAGGCGUGGUGGGAGAGCAUCAUGUCCAGGCCGGCGAUUCAGAAGCUCAGUGCAACCAUGACACCAUGA
rnacentral:rRNA from 1 species